rnacentral:rRNA from 1 species
UACGGGGGGAGCAAGCGUUGUUCGGAUUUACUGGGCGUAAAGGGCGCGUAGGCGGCCACUGCAAGUCAGUUGUGAAAUCUCCGGGCUUAACCCGGAAAGGUCAACUGAUACUGCAGGGCUAGAGUGCAGAAGGGCAACUGGAAGUUCUCGGUGUAGGCGGUGAAAUGACGUAGAUAUCGAGAGGAACACCUGCGGCGAAGGCGGGUUGCUGGGCUGACACUGACGCUGAUGUGCGAAAGCUAGGGGAGCGAACGGG